CCAAAUCCCCACCCCGGCCUGCAAUUCAUUCCAAUCGCCCGUGCGCCGCCCCAAAUCGCCAUCGCUGCCCCCAAAUCGCCCGAGGCCGCCGGUCGGAGCCCACCGGUCGGUCUCCUCCGCCACCACAUCUUCUCGCCGUCGCACCGUUCCUCACCUCACCACCGCCGCGCCGUUCUUCUCCUCCUCUUGUGCUCGCUGCCACCUAGGGUUUCGGUGGUGCUCGCCUCGCUGUCGCGUCGUUCUUUCCCCUCAAUUGCCGUGCCUUUCUUCUCCUUUGGAUUGUCGUGUUGCUACUCUCCUUCUCCCCUGGUCGUCGGCGGCUAGGGUUUCGGGGGUGCUUGCCUCCCUUCGUCGUCACAUCGUUGCUCCUCUUCCCACCGCGUCGUUCCUCUCCAAGCCGUGUCGACCACCACCGCCGUUGGCUUCCAAAGUUGUUCUUCCUUGAGCUCCUCUGUCGUGUGGGUUCUGAUCAUCGCUGAGCUCCUCUGCCGUUCCACUGCUCUUCUCUGCGUCGGCUGGUGCCUCAUGUGGAUUUUAUGGCUUAAGCCAAGAGGAGAAAGAAAGGGCUCUGCAUAUGAAAAGAUACCAACAUUAUUGUUUCCAUGAAAUUGGUUGGAAGAAAAGAAGAAGAUCCAGAGAAGAUCUUAGUAAUAAGAUAGUUUUUAGGAAAAUAGAUAUUUAGUUUUAGGU